rnacentral:rRNA from 1 species
UUAAGCGACUAAGCGUACACGGUGGAUGCCCUGGCAGUCAGAGGCGAUGAAGGACGUGCUAAUCUGCGAAAAGCGUCGGUAAGGUGAUAUGAACCGUUAUAACCGGCGAUGUCCGAAUGGGGAAACCCAGUGCAAUUCGUUGCACUAUCGUUAACUGAAUACAUAGGUUAACGAGGCGAACCGGGGGAACUGAAACAUCUAAGUACCCCGAGGAAAAGAAAUCAACCGAGAUUCCCCCAGUAGCGGCGAGCGAACGGGGAGCAGCCCAGAGUCUGAAUCAGCUUGUGUGUUAGUGGAACGGUCUGGAAAGUCCGACGGUACAGGGUGAUAGUCCCGUACACCAAAAUGCACAGGCUGUGAACUCGAAGAGUAGGGCGGGACACGUGGUAUCCUGUCUGAAUAUGGGGGGACCAUCCUCCAAGGCUAAAUACUCCUGACUGACCGAUAGUGAACCAGUACCGUGAGGGAAAGGCGAAAAGAACCCCGGCGAGGGGAGUGAAAAAGAACCUGAAACCGUGUACGUACAAGCAGUGGGAGCACCUUCGGGUGUGACUGCGUACCUUUUGUAUAAUGGGUCAGCGACUUAUAUUCUGUAGCAAGGUUAACCGUAUAGGGGAGCCGCAGGGAAACCGAGUCUUAACUGGGCGUUAAGUUGCAGGGUAUAGACCCGAAACCCGGUGAUCUAGCCAUGGGCAGGUUGAAGGUUGGGUAACACUAACUGGAGGACCGAACCGACUAAUGUUGAAAAAUUAGCGGAUGACUUGUGGCUGGGGGUGAAAGGCCAAUCAAACCGGGAGAUAGCUGGUUCUCCCCGAAAGCUAUUUAGGUAGCGCCUCGUGAACUCAUCUUCGGGGGUAGAGCACUGUUUCGGCUAGGGGGUCAUCCCGACUUACCAACCCGAUGCAAACUACGAAUACCGAAGAAUGUUAUCACGGGAGACACACGGCGGGUGCUAACGUCCGUCGUGAAGAGGGAAACAACCCAGACCGCCAGCUAAGGUCCCAAAGUCAUGGUUAAGUGGGAAACGAUGUGGGAAGGCACAGACAGCCAGGAUGUUGGCUUAGAAGCAGCCAUCAUUUAAAGAAAGCGUAAUAGCUCACUGGUCGAGUCGGCCUGCGCGGAAGAUGUAACGGGGCUAAACCAUGCACCGAAGCUGCGGCAGCGACACUAUGUGUUGUUGGGUAGGGGAGCGUUCUGUAAGCCUGCGAAGGUGUGCUGUGAGGCAUGCUGGAGGUAUCAGAAGUGCGAAUGCUGACAUAAGUAACGAUAAAGCGGGUGAAAAGCCCGCUCGCCGGAAGACCAAGGGUUCCUGUCCAACGUUAAUCGGGGCAGGGUGAGUCGACCCCUAAGGCGAGGCCGAAAGGCGUAGUCGAUGGGAAACAGGUUAAUAUUCCUGUACUUGGUGUUACUGCGAAGGGGGGACGGAGAAGGCUAUGUUAGCCGGGCGACGGUUGUCCCGGUUUAAGCAUGUAGGCUGAUUGUCCAGGCAAAUCCGGAUAAUCAAGGCUGAGGUGUGAUGACGAGGCACUACGGUGCUGAAGUAACAAAUGCCCUGCUUCCAGGAAAAGCCUCUAAGCAUCAGGUAACAUUAAAUCGUACCCCAAACCGACACAGGUGGUCAGGUAGAGAAUACCAAGGCGCUUGAGAGAACUCGGGUGAAGGAACUAGGCAAAAUGGUGCCGUAACUUCGGGAGAAGGCACGCUGGUGUGUAGGUGAAGUCCCUGCGGAUGGAGCUGAGACCAGUCGAAGAUACCAGCUGGCUGCAACUGUUUAUUAAAAACACAGCACUGUGCAAACACGAAAGUGGACGUAUACGGUGUGACGCCUGCCCGGUGCCGGAAGGUUAAUUGAUGGGGUUAUCCGUAAGGAGAAGCUCUUGAUCGAAGCCCCGGUAAACGGCGGCCGUAACUAUAACGGUCCUAAGGUAGCGAAAUUCCUUGUCGGGUAAGUUCCGACCUGCACGAAUGGCGUAAUGAUGGCCAGGCUGUCUCCACCCGAGACUCAGUGAAAUUGAACUCGCUGUGAAGAUGCAGUGUACCCGCGGCAAGACGGAAAGACCCCGUGAACCUUUACUAUAGCUUGACACUGAACAUUGAGCCUUGAUGUGUAGGAUAGGUGGGAGGCUUUGAAGCGUGGACGCCAGUCUGCGUGGAGCCAACCUUGAAAUACCACCCUUUAAUGUUUGAUGUUCUAACGUUGGCCCCUGACCGGGGUUGCGGACAGUGUCUGGUGGGUAGUUUGACUGGGGCGGUCUCCUCCCAAAGCGUAACGGAGGAGCACGAAGGUUAGCUAAUCCUGGUCGGACAUCAGGAGGUUAGUGCAAUGGCAUAAGCUAGCUUGACUGCGAGCGUGACGG